UUUAUGGAGAGUUUGAUCCUGGCUCAGGAUGAACGCUGGCGGCGUGCCUAAUACAUGCAAGUCGAGCGAACGGAUGAGAAGCUUGCUUCUCUGAUGUUAGCGGCGGACGGGUGAGUAACACGUGGAUAACCUACCUAUAAGACUGGGAUAACUCCGGGAAACCGGAGCUAAUACCGGAUAAUAUUUUGA
rnacentral:rRNA from 1 species